CCUACGGGCGGCUGCAGUGGGGAAUAUUGGACAAUGGGCGCAAGCCUGAUCCAGCAAUGCCGCGUGUGUGAAGAAGGCCUGCGGGUUGUAAAGCACUUUUGUUCGGGAAGAAAUCAUGCUGGUUAAUACCUGGUAUGGAUGACGGUACCGAAAGAAUAAGCACCGGCUAACUUCGUGCCAGCAGCCGCGGUAAUACGAAGGGUGCAAGCGUUAAUCGGAAUUACUGGGCGUAAAGGGUGCGUAGGCGGCCUUUUAAGUCGGAUGUGAAAUCCCCGGGCUCAACCUGGGAAUGGCAUUCGAUACUGGGAGGCUAGAGUUUGGGAGAGGGUGGUGGAAUUCCCGGUGUAGCGGUGAAAUGCGUAGAGAUCGGGAGGAACAUCAGUGGCGAAGGCGGCCACCUGGCCUAAAACUGACGCUGAGGCACGAAAGCGUGGGGAGCAAACAGGAUUAGAUACCCCGGUAGUC
rnacentral:rRNA from 1 species